rnacentral:rRNA from 1 species
UACGUAGGUGGCAAGCGUUGUCUGGAUUUACUGGGCGUAAAGAGCGCGCAGGCGGUCGGAUUAGUCGCGUGUGAAAGCCCCCGGCUCAACUGGGGAGGGUCACGCGAUACUGUUCGACUCGAAGGCAGGAGAGGGAAGUGGAAUUCCCGGUGUAGUGGUGAAAUGCGUAGAGAUCGGGAGGAACACCCGUGGCGAAGGCGGCCAACUGGGAUACACCUGACGCUGAGGCACGGAAGGCGUGGGGAGCGAACGG